rnacentral:rRNA from 1 species
CGUGUAGGCGGCUGGGUAAGUCUGAUGUGAAAGCCCGGGGCUCAACCCUGGAAGUGCAUUGGAGACUGCUCGGCUUGAGUACUGGAGAGGAUGGGGGAAUUCCCGGUGUAGAGGUGAAAUUCGUAGAGAUCGGGAGGAAUACCAGUGGCGAAGGCGCCCAUCUGGACGGAUACUGACGCUGAGACGCGAAAGCGUGGGGAGCAAACA